UACGAAGGGACCUAGCGUAGUUCGGAAUUACUGGGCUUAAAGAGUUCGUAGGUGGUUAAAAAAGUUGAUGGUGAAAUCCCAAGGCUCAACCUUGGAACUGCCAUCAAAACUUUUUAGCUAGAGUAUGAUAGAGGAAAGCGGAAUUUCUAGUGUAGAGGUGAAAUUCGUAGAUAUUAGAAAGAACACCAAAAGCGAAGGCAGCUUUCUGGAUCAUUACUGACACUGAGGAACGAAAGCAUGGGUAGCGAAGAGGAUUAGAUACCCUCGUAGUCCAUGCCGUAAACGAUGUGUGCUAGACGUUGGAAACUUAGUUUUCAGUGUCGCAGCGAAAGCAUUAAGCACACCGCCUGGGGAGUACGACCGCAAGGUUAAAACUCAAAUGAAUUGACGGGGACCCGCACAAGUAGUGGAGCAUGUGGUUUAAUUCGAAGAUACGCGCAGAACCUUACCAACACUUGACAUGUUCGUCGCGAGACCAAGAGAUUGGUUUCUUCAUUCAGUUGGACGAAACACAGGUGCUGCAUGGCUGUCGUCAGCUUGUGUCGUGAGAUGUUGGGUUAAGUCCCGCAACGAGCGCAACCCCUACCUUUAGUUGCCACCAUUUAGUUGGGCACUUUAAAGGAACUGCCAGUGAUAAGCUGGAGGAAGGUGGGGAUGACGUCAAGUCCUCAUGGCCCUUACGUGUUGGGCUACACACGUGCUACAAUGGCAUUUACAAUGAGAAGCUAAGACGCGAGUCCAAGCUAAUCCCAAAAAGAUGCCUCAGUUCGGAUUGUACUCUGUAACUCGAGUGCAUGAAGCUGGAAUUACUAGUAAUCGCGGAUCAGCGCGCCGCGGUGAAUACGUUCCCGGGUAA
rnacentral:rRNA from 1 species